AACGAACGCUGGCGGCAUGCCUAACACAUGCAAGUCGAACGAGACCUUCGGGUCUAGUGGCGCACGGGUGCGUAACGCGUGGGAAUCUGCCCUUGGGUUCGGGAUAACAGUUGGAAACGACUGCUAAUACCGGAUGACGUCUUCGGACCAAAGAUUUAUCGCCCAGGGAUGAGCCCGCGUCGGAUUAGCUAGUUGGUAGGGUAAAAGCCUACCAAGGCGACGAUCCGUAGCUGGUCUGAGAGGAUGAUCAGCCACACUGGGACUGAGACACGGCCCAGACUGCGACGGGGGGCAGGAGUAGGGAAUAUUGGACAGUGGGCGAAAGCCUGAUCCAGCAAUGCCGCGUGAGUGAUGAAGGCCUUAGGGUUGUAAAGCUCUUUUACCCGGGAUGAUAAUGACAGUACCGGGAGAAUAAGCCCCGGCUAACUCCGUGCCAGCCGCCGCGGUAA
rnacentral:rRNA from 1 species